GCCGGCAUGGCAUAGUGGUUUGGACAUUAGACUACAACUCUGGAGACCAGGUUUCAAUUCCUAGCUUGGCC